AGAGUUUGAUCCUGGCUCAGGAUGAACGCUGGCGGCGUGCCUAACACAUGCAAGUCGAACGGAGACGGACCUGGAAGUAACAGUUUACUGUAACGGAAAGAUCUGUCUUAGUGGCGGACGGGUGAGUAACGCGUGGGCAACCUGCCCUGUACCGGGGGAUAACACUUAGAAAUAGGUGCUAAUACCGCAUAAUAAGGAAGACCGCAUGGUGGUCCUUUGAAAACUCCGGUGGUACAGGAUGGGCCCGCGUCUGAUUAGCCAGUUGGCGGGGUAACGGCCCACCAAAGCGACGAUCAGCAGCCGGCCUGAGAGGGUGGACGGCCACACUGGGACUGAGACACGGCCCAGACUCCUACGGGAGGCAGCAGUGGGGAAUAUUGCACAAUGGGGGGAACCCUGAUGCAGCGACGCCGCGUGAGUGAAGAAGUAUCUCGGUAUGUAAAGCUCUGUCAGCAGGGAAGAAGAAAGACGGUACCUGACCAAGAAGCCCCGGCUAACUACGUG
rnacentral:rRNA from 1 species